GAAGGAGAGAUGGUUCUCAGAGCCCAGGCCUCAUCUCUGCUGGCUUCCCACUGCCCUCAGGCAUCUGGUGAACGCUGGAGUCCUCACCGUCCGAGAUGCUGGGAGCUGGUGGCUAGCUGUGCCUGGAGCUGGGAGAUUCAUCAAAUACUUUGUUAAAGGUAUCCCAUCUGCAGCUCAAGCCUGCAGCCCCUCACCUUUUGGUGGCUCCUCAGGCCUCUAGGCUUCAUUCACCUUUCUCCUCUCCUGUGCCACUUCUCCGCUAGGGCGCCAGGCUGUCCUUGGCAUGGUCCGGAAGGCAAAGUACCGGGAGCUGCUCCUAUCAGAGCUCCUGGGCCGGCGGGCGCCUGUCGUGGUGCGGCUUGGCCUCACCUACCAUGUGCACGACCUCAUUGGGGCCCAGCUCGUGGACUGCAUCUCUACCACUUCGGGAACCCUCCUCCGCCUGCCAGAGACAUGAAGAUUCUGCUCAUCAUUGCUCAGCUCCUCAGAGUGGGCCGGGAGGGGACUAGAAGAGCUGCAUGAUGGUGGCUGAGACAGGGUCACCUUGGGAAGGCUUGGGAGCCAGGAUGAGUGUUGGGCUCUCGUGUGUGCAAAAGGUCAGAUGUGACUGCUGCUGUUUGCCUGGUUUCUGACCCAGUGGUGGGGUUUGAGCAAUGCUUCUCUGCCCUUCCAUGGAAAGUGGAACCAGAAAUGGUGCCAAGGCUGUGGCUGUUCCCUUUCGUGUAAAAUGGUGCUGUCUUGAAAUAGGAAGGUGGGAUUUCUGGGGAGGCUGGUGAAGGAGGGCAGGGUUCUUUUCCCUAUGCGUCAUGUUAAAAUUGCCAAAUAAAGUACCUCUGCCUGUGA
rnacentral:sRNA from 1 species